rnacentral:tRNA from 1 species
AGCUCAGUUGGUUGAGCUUCUGACUUUGGCUCAGGUCAUGAUCUCACAGUUCGUGGGUUCGAGCCCCAC